CGGACGGGUGAGUAACACGUGGAUAGCCUACCUAUAAGACUGGGAUAACUUCGGGAAACCGGAGCUAAUACCGGAUAAUAUAUUGAACCGCAUGGUUCAAUAGUGAAAGACGGUUUUGCUGUCACUUAUAGAUGGAUCCGCGCCGCAUUAGCUAGUUGGUAAGGUAACGGCUUACCAAGGCAACGAUGCGUAGCCGACCUGAGAGGGUGAUCGGCCACACUGGAACUGAGACACGGUCCAGACUCCUACGGGAGGCAGCAGCG
rnacentral:rRNA from 1 species